rnacentral:lncRNA from 1 species
CUGAGUCAACAACCUGGCUAGCCCUGAGCAUGACUUCAUAAAUCAUGGGUCUGCGUGAUCUCCUCCCAUGAGAGGCAACUCAGCAGCUCGGUCCCCUCUGCCAUCUCAGCACCGCCAGUGGAAAAGCCCAGGAGGAGCAGAGCAGUGGCUGAGCAACAGUUUGAAUAUUCAUAUUUAACCCUUCGAACAACAGAAGAUACGUCAGAACCAUGUUAAGAAGGAUAAGCUUGGAGUGCCCAGUCACCGUGGUAACUGCCAGAAAAAUUCUCCUGAAGUUUGAAGAGGUCAGCUAACGGGGUCAACAACUCUGGCCUCUCUCUGAGCUGGGCCUGGCAGGCUCCAUCCUGCGGUUGGGGUGUUAGCACAGGCUGAGCCCUGGGAGGUGGACCAUUCCAGCUCUGAUAUAAAUUUUUUGAGUCAGUUCACGGCCUGGACUCUCCAGGUGGCCUCCAAAAUCGAUUGUGACCUUGUGACCCUGUCUAACGGAGGCAUAGCAUCCAACCUAAGUAAGGAUUUAGCCAGGAACGACAGCUUUCCACUGAGUGUUAUUGGGGACAGUACAAACAGUUUGGGAAGCAAGGAGAUCAGCCCUCUUCAGAACCCCAUUUCUGGCAAUCUCAGCAACACGUGGGGGUCUGGCAGCUUCUGCAAACAUUGCCAUCUUCCCUCCCUGCUCCUUCUGCACUGUUACACCAGCUCCACAGCCUGUCAUUUCUCAGGAGCCCUUAAUGAUGCCUUUCCUCCAUCAUCUGCCCCACGGCUCUUCCAGAAUCAGAUGCUUUUGUCAAAGUUUUUCAAGCCAAUCUAGAAAUAGAUACUGAAAUAAAGGCAGGUGAUCUGGUGGUGGGGUGACGUUC